rnacentral:lncRNA from 1 species
CCGGUAAGCCAGUCUGUGCCAACAAGCAACACCAGAGUACGUAAUGGUAAGGAGAUUGAUUCACUAAUCUCCCCCACCACCCACCAUCUGGGGAGCACAUUUUCACCUUUCAAUGUAAUUAAAUAGCAAUUCUGUUCGCUACCAUCUUGUUUAUCCAGAACUAAUCUUGUUUGCUGCAUUUAUCAAAGAUUUUAUUAUUUUUUUCAUUUUUUGAUAAAAUAAAUUCGGUUCUUAAUGAAAGAACCGAACCGAA